GAUGAACGCUGACAGAAUGCUUAACACAUGCAAGUCUACUUGAAUUUGGGUUUUUAACUUAGAUUUGGGUGGCGGACGGGUGAGUAACGCGUAAAGAACUUGCCUCACAGCUAGGGACAACAUUUAGAAAUGAAUGCUAAUACCUAAUAUUAUGAUAAUAGGGCAUCCUAUAAUUAUGAAAGCUAUAUGCGCUGUGAGAGAGCUUUGCGUCCCAUUAGCUAGUUGGAGAGGUAACGGCUCACCAGGGCGAUGAUGGGUAGCCGGCCUGAGAGGGUGAUCGGCCACAAGGGGACUGAGACACGGCCCUUACUCCUACGGGAGGCAGCAGUGGGGAAUAUUGGACAAUGGACCGAGAGUCUGAUCCAGCAAUUCUGUGUGCACGAUGAAGUUUUUCGGAAUGUAAAGUGCUUUCAGUUGGGAAGAAAGAAAUGACGGUACCAACAGAAGAAGUGACGGCUAAAUACGUGCCAGCAGCCGCGGUAAUACGUAUGUCACGAGCGUUAUCCGGAUUUAUUGGGCGUAAAGCGCGUCUAGGUGGUUAUAUAAGUCUGAUGUGAAAAUGCAGGGCUCAACUCUGUAUUGCGUUGGAAACUGUAUAACUAGAGUACUGGAGAGGUAAGCGGAACUAUAAGUGUAGAGGUGAAAUUCGUAGAUAUUUGUAGGAAUGCCGAUGGGGAAGCCAGCUUACUGGACAGAUACUGACGCUGAAGCGCGAAAGCGUGGGUAGCAAACAGG
rnacentral:rRNA from 1 species